GACGAACGCUGGCGGCGUGCCUAAUACAUGCAAGUUGAGCGAUGAAGAUUGGUGCUUGCACCAAUUUGAAGAGCAGCGAACGGGUGAGUAACGCGUGGGGAAUCUGCCUUUGAGCGGGGGACAACAUUUGGAAACGAAUGCUAAUACCGCAUAACAACUUUAAACAUAAGUUUUAAGUUUGAAAGAUGCAAUUGCAUCACUCAAGGAUGAUCCCGCGUUGUAUUAGCUAGUUGGUGAGGUAAAGGCUCACCAAGGCGAUGAUACACAGCCGACCUGAGAGGGUGAUCGGCCACAUUGGGACUGAGACACGGCCCAAACUCCUACGGGAGGCAGCAGUAGGGAAUCUUCGGCAAUGGACGAAAGUCUGACCGAGCAACGCCGCGUGAGUGAAGAAGGUUUUCGGAUCGUAAAACUCUGUUGGUAGAGAAGAACGUUGGUGAGAGUGGAAAGCUCAUCAAGUGACGGUAACUACCCAGAAAGGGACGGCUAACUACGUG
rnacentral:rRNA from 1 species